rnacentral:rRNA from 1 species
UGGGGAAUUUUGGACAAUGGGCGCAAGCCUGAUCCAGCAAUGCCGCGUGCAGGAUGAAGGCCUUCGGGUUGUAAACUGCUUUUGUACGGAGCGAAAAGGCUCUGGUUAAUACCUGGGGCUCAUGACGGUACCGUAAGAAUAAGCACCGGCUAACUACGUGCCAGCAGCCGCGGUAAUACGUAGGGUGCAAGCGUUAAUCGGAAUUACUGGGCGUAAAGCGUGCGCAGGCGGUGAUGUGAGACAGGUGUGAAAUCCCCGGGCUUAACCUGGGAAUUGCAUUUGUGACUGCAUCGCUGGAGUGCAGCAGAGGGGGAUGGAAUUCCGCGUGUAGCAGUGAAAUGCGUAGAUAUGCGGAGGAACACCGAUGGCGAAGGCAAUCCCCUGGGCCUGCACUGACGCUCAUGCACGAAAGCGUGGGGAGCAAACA